rnacentral:rRNA from 1 species
UACGAAGGGGGCUAGCGUUGCUCGGAAUCACUGGGCGUAAAGGGUGCGUAGGCGGGUCUUUAAGUCAGGGGUGAAAUCCUGGAGCUCAACUCCAGAACUGCCUUUGAUACUGGAGAGCUUGAGUCCGGGGGAGGUGAGUGGAACUCCGAGUGUAGAGGUGAAAUUCGUAGAUAUUCGGAAGAACACCAGUGGCGAAGGCGGCUCACUGGCCCGGUACUGACGCUGAGGUGCGAAAGCGUGGGGAGCAAACAGG